rnacentral:rRNA from 1 species
CAUCCAGGAAGGCAGCAGGCGCGUAAAUUACCCAUCCUGAUACGGGGAGGUAGUGACAAUAAAUAACAAUACGGGGCCCAUCGGGUCUUGUAAUUGGAAUGAGUACAAUCUAAAUCCCUUAACGAGGAUCAAUUGGAGGGCAAGUCUGGUGCCAGCAGCCGCGGUAAUUCCAGCUCCAAUAGCGUAUAUUAAAGUUGUUGCAGUUAAAAAGCUCGUAGUUGGAUUUCUGGUAGGAGUGACCGUUCCGGACUUGAUUGUCCGUGUAUUGUGUUGUCUCCAGCCAUCCUCGUGGAGAACUUUUCCAGCAUUAACUUGUUGGGAUUAGGACCCACGUCGUUUACUGUGAAAAAAUUAGAGUGUUUAAAGCAGGCAAUCGCUUGAAUACAUUAGCAUGGAAUAAUAAGAUAGGACUUUGGUACUAUUUUGUUGGUUUGCAUACCAAAUUAAUGAUCAACAGGAACAGUUGAGGAUAUUCGUAUGAACAUGUCAGAGGUGAAAUUCUUGGAUUUUGAUCAGACGAACUACUGCGAAAGCAUUUAUCAAGGAUGUUUUCAUUAAUCAAGAACGAAAGUUAGGGGAUCGAAGAUGAUUAGAUACCAUCGUAGUCUUAACCAUAAACUAUGCCGACUAGGGAUUGGCGGACGUUGUUUAAUUGACUCCGCCAGCACCUCAUGAGAAAUCAAAGUCUUUGGGUUCCGGGGGGAGUAUUGGUCCCAAGGCUGAAACUUAAAGGAAUUGACGGAAGGCC